rnacentral:lncRNA from 1 species
GGUGGUCAAGUGUUUUGUAGGAGAAGGGGAGGAUUUACACGAAUGUUCUACCACCAUCUUUAGGCUGUAGAGUGAAGCUAUGGAGAUGUGUCUUUGAAGAGGAAGACAAGGGGACUUCCUUUCUGGUUCAUUAGAGAUCGGGUGGAGAACUCUUUCAAUGUUCUCUAGUAAGAGGAUCUUAUGUGGGUGGAUUUCUCACUUGGUGUAAGUAUUGGCCAGAGCAUUUGAUAUACCCUUUUCUUUCUUCAACUAUGGGGAGGGAAAAAAAAAAAAGGAACCCCUUUCUCCUCACACAUUGUCAGACUUAUGAAGCCACAACUGACAUACACGCUUGAAGGAAAACAAAACAACAACAAAAAAAAUACUAUACUGCUUUAUUUUCUCUUUUGAAUUACAUUCUCCUGAGACUGUAGUUGACCCUUAGGCCCAUGGUGUUCCUGAAUGUGAUUGACAUGCGUGAUUAGCAGGCUAGUGAGAGAGAACCAGGGAAAUUGCUAUCAAAACAAUUACAUACAGGGACAUCAGAACAAAGGCUUGAUUGCCCUGGGGACUUAGGGACCAUCCUAUCUCUGACACGGAUGCCCUCUGGGAUGGUGGCCAAGUCAGAUCAUCUCUUUGUGUCUUGUUUCUUUCUGGAAAAAUUAAAU